rnacentral:rRNA from 1 species
GUGGGGAAUCUUGCGCAAUGGGCGAAAGCCUGACGCAGCCAUGCCGCGUGAAUGAUGAAGGUCUUAGGAUUGUAAAAUUCUUUCACCGGGGACGAUAAUGACGGUACCCGGAGAAGAAGCUCCGGCUAACUUCGUGCCAGCAGCCGCGGUAAUACGAAGGGGGCUAGCGUUGCUCGGAAUUACUGGGCGUAAAGGGCGCGUAGGCGGACAGCUUAGUCAGAGGUGAAAGCCCAGGGCUCAACCUUGGAAUUGCCUUUGAUACUGGCUGUCUUGAGUUUGGGAGAGGUGAGUGGAACUCCGAGUGUAGAGGUGAAAUUCGUAGAUAUUCGGAAGAACACCGGUGGCGAAGGCGACUCACUGGCCCAAUACUGACGCUGAGGCGCGAAAGCGUGGGGAGCAAACAGGAUUAGAAACCCUUGUAGUCC